CAGUCGGGCGCUGAGAGGGUUUAUCGGAUCAUGUCUGGUGGCUCCGCAGAUUAUAACAGAGAACGUGGCGGCCCAGAGGGAAUGGACCCCGAUGGUGUCAUCGAGAGCAACUGGAAUGAGAUUGUUGAUAACUUUGAUGAUAUGAAUUUAAAGGAGUCUCUUCUUCGGGGCAUCUAUGCUUACGGUUUUGAGAAGCCUUCCUCUAUUCAGCAGAGAGCUAUUAUUCCCUGUAUUAAAGAUCCAAAAGAUAAUUCUGGCACUUGGAGACUAUAUGAGAACAACUUGCCAUGCCUGCAUUGGUGGAACAAAUGUUCAAAAUGAAAUGCAAAAACUGCAAGCUGAAGUACCACAUAUUGUUGUUGGUACACCUGGGAGAGGGUUUGAUAUGUUAAACAGAUGAUAUCUUUCUCCAAAAUGGAUCAAAAUGUUUGUUUUGGAUGAAGCAGAUGAAAUGUUGAGUCGUGGGUUUAAGGAUCAAAUCUAUGAGAUUUUCCAAAAACUAAAUACAAGUAUUCAGGUUGUGUUGCUUUCUGCCACAAUGCCAACUGAUGAGUUGAAAGCGACCAAAAAAUUCAUGAGAGAUCCAAUUCAAAUUCUGGUGAAAAAGGAAGAAUUGACCCUUGAAGGAAUCAAACAGUUUUAUAUUAAUGUUGAGAGAGAGGAAUGGAAGUUGGAUACACUUUGUGACUUGUAUGAGACACUGCCCAUUAGGCAGGCUGUUAUUUUUCUCAAUACAAGGCACAAGGUGGACUGGCUGAGAAAAUGCAUGCUAGAGACUUCACAGUUUCUGCUCUACAUGGUGACACGGACCAGAAGGGGAGAGAUGUUAUCAUGAGGGAAUUCCGAUCAGGAUCAAGCUGUGUUCUGAUAACUACUGACUUGUUGGCUCAUGGGAUUAAUGUGCAACAAGUGUCUUUGGUUAUAAAUUAUGAUCUACCUACCCAUCGUGAAAACUACAUUCACAGGAAAAUUGGCAGAGGGGGUCGAUUUGGGAGGAAAGGUGUGGCUAUAAACUUUGUUACCGAAGAAGUCAAGAGGAUUCUUCGUGACAUUGAGACUUUCUACAAUACUACAGUGGAGGAGAUGCCCAUGAAUAUGGCUGAUCUUACUUAAUUCCUGGGAUGAGAGUUUUGGAUGCAGUGCUCGCUGUUGCUGAAUAGGCGAUGGCAACAUGCAUUGUGCUUCUUUCUUUGGGAAUAUUUGAAUCUUGUCUCAAUGCUCAUAAUGGAUCCGAAAUACAGAUUUUGAUAGCAAAGUGACAUUAGUUGUGAGCUCUUGUGAGGAAAGUCAUUGGCUUUAUCCUCUUUAGAGUUAGACUGUUGGGGUGGGUAUAAAAGAUGGGAGUCUGUAAAAUCUUUCUUUCUUAGAAAUUUAUUUCCUGGUUCUGUAGAAAUGGUUGUAUUAGAUGUUCUCUAUCAUUUAAUAAUAUACUUGUAGACUAAAAGAUAUAAGUGCUGUAUAAAAUCAGCCAAUUAUGUUAAACUAGCAUAACUGCCUUUGUUGUGUUUGUCAUUAGCCUGAGUAGAAAGACCUUUAAAAUUUUUUUAGAAAACAUUUGACUGCAUUUUGUUUGGUAUUGUAUUUAUUCAAUAAAGUAUUUAAUUAGUGC